rnacentral:rRNA from 1 species
GAAGGGUGCUAGCGUUGUUCGGAAUCACUGGGCGUAAAGGGCGUUGCAGGCGAGUUUGUUAAGUCUAAGGGUGAAAGCUCGCAGCUCAACUUGGAAAGGUUCUUGGAUACUGAUGGACUUGAGGCAUGCAGAGGAAAGUGGAAUUUCCCGGUGUAGCGGUGAUAUGCGUAGAUAUCGGGAGGAACACCAGUGGCGAAGGCGGCUUUCCGGACAUUUCCUGACGCUGAGACGCGAAAGCUAGGGGAGCAAACGGGAUUAGAUACCCCGGUAGUCCUAGCUGUAAACGAUGGACACUAGAUGUUCCCGCGUUUAUGCGGGAGUGUCGUAGCUUACGCGUUAAGUGCCCCGCCUGGGGAGUACGGUCGCAAGGCUG